AUUGAACGCUGGCGGCAUGCUUUACACAUGCAAGUCGAACGGUAACAGGCCGCAAGGUGCUGACGAGUGGCGAACGGGUGAGUAAUGCAUCGGAACGUGCCCAGUCGUGGGGGAUAACGCAGCGAAAGCUGUGCUAAUACCGCAUAAGAUCUAUGGAUGAAAGCGGGGGACCGUAAGGCCUCGCCCGAUUGGAGCGGCCGAUGUCAGAUUAGGUAGUUGGUGGGGUAAAGGCCUACCAAGCCGACGAUCUGUAGCUGGUCUGAGAGGACGACCAGCGACACUGGGAGUGAGACACGGCCCAGACUCCUACGGGAGGCAGCAAUGGGGAAUUUUGGACAAGGGGCGCAAGCGUGAUCCAGCAAUGACGCGUGCAGGAAGAAGGCCUUCGGGUUGUAAACUGCUUUUGUACGGAACGAAACGGUCUGGGUUAAUACCCUGGGCUAAUGACGGUACCGUAAGAAUAAGCACCGGCUAACUACGUGCCAGCCGCCGCCGUAACAC
rnacentral:rRNA from 1 species